UCUUCUGAUCUGUCGAGUUUCCCACAUUUGGGGAAAUCGUAGGGGUCAGCACAUCCGGAGUGCAAUGGAUAAACCUCGCCCUGGGACAACCACCUUCGCCAUCAUGGUACCU